UGGCCGUAACUGACGUGAGGAGGAAAGCUGGGAGCGAACAGGAUUAGAUACCCUGGUAGUCCACGCCGUAAACGUUGGCGCUAGAUGUAGGGACCUUUCCACGGUUUCUGUGUCGUAGCUAACGCAUUAAGCGCCCCGCCUGGGGAGUACGGCCGCAAGGCUAAAACUCAAAGGAAUUGACGGGGGCCCGCACAAGCGGCGGAGCAUGCGGAUUAAUUCGAUGCAACGCGAAGAACCUUACCAAGGCUUGACAUACACCGGAAACGGCCAGAGAUGGUCGCCCCCUUGUGGUCGGUGUACAGGUGGUGCAUGGUUGUCGUCAGCUCGUGUCGUGAGAUGUUGGGUUAAGUCCCGCAACGAGCGCAACCCUCGUUCUAUGUUGCCAGCGCGUUAUGGCGGGGACUCAUAGGAGACUGCCGGGGUCAACUCGGAGGAAGGUGGGGAUGACGUCAAAUCAUCAUGCCCCUUAUGUCUUGGGCUUCACGCAUGCUACAAUGGCCGGUACAAAGGGCUGCGAUACCGUAAGGUGGAGCGAAUCCCAAAAAGCCGGUCUCAGUUCGGAUUGAGGUCUGCAACUCGACCUCAUGAAGUCGGAGUCGCUAGUAAUCGCAGAUCAGCAACGCUGCGGUGAAUACGUUCCCGGGCCUUGUACACACCGCCCGUCAAGUCAUGAAAGUCGGUAACACCCGAAGCCGGUGGCCUAACCCUUGUGGAAGGAGCCGUCGAAGGUGGGAUCGGUGAUU
rnacentral:rRNA from 1 species